GGAUUGUGGCUUAGUGGUAGAGCGCUUGCCUUGCAUGUGCAAGACGGUGGGUUCAAUCCUCAGCACCA
rnacentral:tRNA from 1 species